CUCUUUCUCGAUUCAGUGGAUGGUGGUGCAUGGCCGUUCUUAGUUGGUGGAGUGAUCUGUCUGGUUAAUUCCGAUAACGAACGAGACUCUCCCCUGCUAACUAGUCGGUUGGAUCUUGAUCAGUGGGUUGAGUGCCGAGUAACUCUCGCUGUGCGUGGUGUGCGUCUCGUUCCUCACGGUUCGUUGCGUGCUCAUGUGUGGCGUUGGAUGCCUUGGAUCACACUGCACCCCAAGUCCGCCGCUUUGCUAUAACUCUUCUUAGAGGGAUUCACGGCACUGAAGCCGUAAGAGACUGAGAGCAAUAACAGGUCUGUGAUGCCCUUAGAUGCUCUGGGCCGCACGCGCGCUACAAUGCCGGGCACAGCAGGUGUUUCUCCUGCUCCGACAGGAGCGGGUAACCCUCUGAAAGCCAGUGUUCUUGCAAGUGCUUCCUCCCUCGUGGAGUUGCACAGAGGCGUGCUUGGGCCUGGGACUUGCAAUUCUUUCCCACCAACGAGGAAUGCCUAGUAGCGGCGGGUCACUGAGCCCGCUGUGACUCAGUCCCUGCCCUUUGUACACACCGCCCGUCGCUACUACCGAUUGGGUGUACCAGUGAGAGCCUUGGACUGGCGUCCGUUGUUGCUCGCAAGAGUGACAAGCGGGUCCGACGGAAAGAGGUCCGAACUGGUGCACUUAGAGGAAGUAAAAGUCGUAACAAGGUUUCCGUAGGUGAACCUGCGGAAGGAUCA
rnacentral:rRNA from 1 species